rnacentral:misc_RNA from 1 species
ACACACACACACACACAAAACUCCAUACUAUCCUGAGAAUUCUAUAUAACUCUUUCAAGAUUCACAAACCGCAAGACGCCCCACACGACCACCCCAUUUGACAACAACCGAGACUAGAAAUCUCAUUUUUUUUAAAGGAAGAAAGGAAACAAAAUGGAAAGGGACUCCAACCAAAAUACAAUUUAGAUGACUCCCACUCUCUAUCAGCCCAGAAGAAAUUCAAUCCAAGAACUCACUGUGUUUAAAUGUUACCAAGACAUGGAUGGAAGAGAGGUCAACUUCAUAUCAAAAUCUCUGAUAAUAUCAUCAUCCGGCUACUCAUCAUCCUUCUUCUCUGCAUCUGAUUUUUCUGGCUCAUCCUUGGGGCCAUCCUCUUUCUUAGCUUUGGCGGGUUCCUCCCCGGCCUUAUCUUCAGCGUUUUUUUCUUCAACACUCAAUUUCUCAAGUAAUCCAGCUGCAGCAGAUGCAUCUUUAUUUUCCUCUUUCUUCUGUUGGGACUCAGCAAUUUCUUGGAACGUUUCCAUGAAAGAUUUGCAGUUCUCAAUAGAUGGAAAUCUGAUACAGAAAAGCUCAUCUUUCAAUUCGCCAUCAGCGAAGUCAGUCGCAUGCCACACGCAGGAUUUGUCAUUUCCAGCGUGUUCCUGAACCGUCAUUGUUGGGAGCACAAGAUGAUUAGCACAGAUCUUAAGCGUUUUAGACUGCCUCAUAACAAGGCGAACCUUUCCAGUCUGCUUAUGUUUCAAAAACUUAACAGUACCAGCACCCCUCUCCUUCCAUUGGUUUCCAUCUUUAUCGAAUCGAUACAGUUUUGCCUUCAGAUCGAGAACAGCGUCCUCAUCUUCUUCACCGGUGGUAACGUCGACCGCCUCCAACUUGACGAUCGGGGCGACUUGAGCUCCAGUGUCUUCAUCUUCUCCGGCAGGAGCCUCCUCGUCGUCUCUGCGUUCAGGAUCGGUGCUGGCCAUAGAUGAAGCUUUGUUGUUUACAGAAAUGGAUCGGGAUUUGGGGGAAAGCAAUGACAG